CAGACUAAAGAAAUAAAAAUCCUACACCCCUGAAGAUGCAGUGGGACGGAUUGAAAUCACAACGGUGAAUCUUGCCUUCCUGAAGUUGCAGUGAAGCAGAUUUAAGCCACCAAGCCUUAACCUCCUAAGCAGUAGGGUAAUAGGCUGGAAAUUACAGAUCUUGCCUUCCUGAAGUUGCAGUGAAGCAGAUUCAAGCCACCAAGCCUUAACCCCCUAAGCAGUAAGGUAAUAGGCUGAAAAUUACAGAUCUUGUAUCUCUGAAGUUGCAGUGGAACAGAUCGAAUACAGCGAAUCUUAUCUCCCUGAAGUUGCAGUGGAACAGACUGAAGCUGUGGACAAACAGAUCUUAUCUCUCUGAAGUUGCAGUAGAGCAGAUCAAAACAAACCUAAUCUCUCUGAAGUUGUAGUAGAACAGAUUAAGGCUAUAAAUCAUAUCCUCCUGAAGUUGCAAUGGGGCAGAUCGAAGUUAUCAUGACAAGUCUUAUCUCCCUAAAGUUGCAGUGGAGCAGACCGAAGAUAGCUAAUCUUAUCCUAUACCUCUGAAGUUGCAGUAGGUCAGAUUGAAUCUUUUAUAGCAAGUCUUGUCUCCCCGAAGUUGCAGCGGAGCAAACUAAAAUCACAAAUCCUAUAUCACCUUGAAGUCCCAAAGAAGCAAAUUGAAACCACAAGUCCCAUCUCUCCGAAAUGGCGAUGGAGUGGUCAAAGCAAUAAAAUCCAGUGGACUAGAAUGAGGCUACUUGAAGAAGAUGAGUACGAAAAGUUGGGAUCCUACAAGACUAGGCAAAAUUGGCCCUUUUGAAGCCUUUGCUCUAUUCUCAUUACACGACAAUGAGCAAAAAGGGGCAGCUGUACGGGCCUAAAUUUUCUCGAUGCCCAUGACUCAAAACCAAAAACAAAAAUAAAAAAAAACCUAAUUUUCAAACCAAAAUAAACAGCCCAAUAAAAAACCCCAAACUCAAAUUUUAGCCCAAACGUUAAAACCACAAUCAGCCCAAUAACAAAUACAGCCCAAACUAUCAAUCUAAUGCAAAAAAAUAUCAGCAGAACCCUAGGAACGUUCAGCCACCGCCCCGCGCCUCUUCAUCUGCUCACACGCUGCUCCAUCAGUCGCCCUCCACGCAUCGA
rnacentral:lncRNA from 1 species